UACGAAGGAUGCAAGCGUUAUCCGGAAUUAUUGGGUUUAAAGGGUGCGUAGGCGGACCUGUAAGUCAGUGGUGAAAGCCUGUUGCUUAACAACAGAACUGCCAUUGAUACUGCAAGUCUUGAGUACAGUUGAGGUAGGCGGAAUGUGUCAUGUAGCGGUGAAAUGCUUAGAUAUGACAUAGAAUACCAAUUGCGAAGGCAGCUGGCUACACGAAUAUUGACACUCAGGCACGAAAGCGUGGGGAUCAAACAGG
rnacentral:rRNA from 1 species